rnacentral:lncRNA from 1 species
AUACCAUACAAAAAUGUAGCCCAUGGCUUUUUAAGGAGGAGUUGUUGAAUAUAUCACAAUGGGACCAUCAUGGUGAAGACUUAAGGAAGAGGGAAAAGAAAAACCCAGGGACUUUGCCAGUUGGCACAUUGUCAUUGUGGAUGAUGAUACGAUUUUGUUUGCCUAGUCCAAAGCUUUCAGUUCAGAUUAUGGUAGAAGACAUAUUAGAUCAGGAAAAAGAGGAGGCCUCUUGAGAUAGUCAGAAAGGGGAAGAAAGUUUAGAGGAGAAAAAGCUGUAGGGGAGAAGUUACAACAGGAGGCUGCUACUAACACCAUUCUAUCACCAGAGGGCAUAAUUCAACCAACAGCUCCACCUAUGGAGACAACAUAUGCUGAGUGGCCCUCAACCCCCAUAGUUGAUAGAUGGGAUCCUGAGACAGGACCCAAAGAUUAGCAUGCCCUGUAUUUGAAGAGGCAGGAGGGCAGCAAAUUCACCAUGUUUUAGAUUUCAAAACAGUGAAGCAGCUGAAAGAGGCUGUAACAACCUAUGGUCCUCAAGCACCCUUUACUGUAAGCAUGGUCGAAUCCAUUACCAACUUGAACAUAAUGCCAGCAGAUUGGGCUAGUAUGUGCAAAGCUGUGCUAAAGGAGGACAUUAUCUGUUAUGGAAGGUUGCUAAUCAGGAAUUUUGCAUGGAGACGGCUAGGUGAAAUGCAACAGCCAGUUAUACUCAGAGAAAUCUAGAUAUGUUGUUAGGAGAGGGACCUUAUGAGGGUCAGCUGCAACAAAUUAGAUAUGAUCCUGCCAUAUACUCACAAAUUGCUUCAGCUGUGGUUAGGGCAUGGAAAACUUUACAGGGGCAUGGAGAUUUACAAGGUCAAUUAUUUAAGGUAAUACAAGGAGCUAAUGAACCUUACGCUGAAUUUGUAGAUAGGCUUAUACAAACAGCUACCAGAAUUUUGGGGGAUGUAGAACAAGGAAUGCCAUUAAUAAAACAACUAGCCUACGAACAGGCAAAUAGAUGGUGCAGGGAUGCCAUUAGACCAUGGAAACAUGGAGAUUUAAACACAUAUAUUAAAUUAUCCAGAGACAUUAAUGAACAAGGGCAAGUCUUGGCAGCUGUAGUACAACAGGCUUUAGGUGCCAGACCAAAAACAUACUACAAUUGUGAACAAACAGGACAUUUUAAAAGGAGUUGCCCCAUAGGAGGAGGGUUUAACAAAACUAGGUAUCAAAGGGGUAGAAUACCGGGUAUUUGCCCACGAUGCCAUAGAGGGAGACAUUGGGCUAAUGAAUGCCGAUCUCAAACCACUAUAGAGGGUACUCCGUUAUAAAAAAAUGGACAAGG